AUUGAACGCUGGCGGCAGGCCUAACACAUGCAAGUCGAGCGAGCGGCGGAGGGGUGAGUAAUGUAUGGGAAUCUGCGCGAUAGAGGGGGAUAAAUACUGGAAACGGUGGAUAAUACCGCAUACUAUCGGAUGAACCCACAUGGGUGUAGCUAGUGGGGGGGGUAAAGGCUCACCUAGGCGACGAUCUCUAGCUGGUCUGAGAGGAUGAUCAGCCACACUGGGACUGAGACACGGCCCAGACUCCUACGGGAGGCAGCAGUGGGGAAUAUUGCACAAUGGGCGAAAGCCUGAUGCAGCCAUGCCGCGUGUAUGAAGAAGGCCUUAGGGUUGUAAAGUACUUUCAGCGGGGAGGCGGUACCCGCAGAAGAAGCACCGGCUAACUCCGUGCCAGCAGCCGCGGUAAUAC
rnacentral:rRNA from 1 species